UACGUAGGGGGCGAGCGUUAUCCGGAAUUAUUGGGCGUAAAGGGCGCGUAGGCGGAUAUUUAAGUCAGAUGUGAAAACCCGGGGCUCAACCGCGGGAUUGCAUCUGAUACUGGGUAUCUUGAGGACAGGAGAGGAAAGUGGAAUUCCUAGUGUAGCGGUGAAAUGCGUAGAUAUUAGGAGGAACACCAGUGGCGAAGGCGACUUUCUGGACUGUAACUGACGCUGAGGCGCGAAAGCGUGGGGAGCAAAC
rnacentral:rRNA from 1 species